CAAUGGCUUUCCCAGCUCGUGCCGUGAGGUGUUAGGUUAAGUCCUGCAACGAGCGCAACCCCUGUCACUAGUUGCCAUCAUUAAGUUGGGGACUCUAGUGAGACUGCCUACGCAAGUAGAGAGGAAGGUGGGGAUGACGUCAAAUCAUCACGGCCCUUACGCCUUGGGCCACACACGUAAUACAAUGGCCGGUACAGAGGGCAGCUACACAGCGAUGUGAUGCAAAUCUCGAAAGCCGGUCUCAGUUCGGAUUGGAGUCUGCAACUCGACUCUAUGAAGCUGGAAUCGCUAGUAAUCGCGCAUCAGCCAUGGCGCGGUGAAUACGUUCCCGGGCCUUGUACACACCGCCCGUCAAGCCAUGGAAGUCUGGGGUACCUGAAGUCGGUGACCGUAACAGGAGCUGCCUAUGAAGUCAUC
rnacentral:rRNA from 1 species